CACGUAGGGCGCAAGCGUUGUCCGGAAUUAUUGGGCGUAAAGAGCUCGUAGGCGGUCUGUUGCGUCCGCUGUGAAAACUCGGGGCUUAACCCCGAGCCUGCAGUGGAUACGGGCAGACUAGAGGUAGGUAGGGGAGAAUGGAAUUCCCGGUGUAGCGGUGAAAUGCGUAGAUAUCGAGAGGAACACCCGCGGCGAAGGCGGGUUGCUGGGCUGACACUGACGCUGACAGCGCGAAAGCUAGGGGAGCGAACGGG
rnacentral:rRNA from 1 species